GGUGUGUAAUAGACUUACCUCCACGUGGUGCACACUGGGCAACGUAUAACCAUAUGGCUAAAAGGUUCAU
rnacentral:ribozyme from 1 species